AGAGCCAUGCGAGGCGCGAGGAGCAGGCAGCCGGAGGGCUCCGUGUCACAAAGGCUGCCGGGGCAGCACGCGAGCCAGAGUCACGACAAGCCCGGGUCCCAGGCUCGCUGCUGCCUCAAAUCUCAUCCGGUCCCAAAGCCAGCUGCCCUGCAGAGAGGAGCCUACCGGCACCGGGCACGUCUGUGGGAGGGCGAGGCUGGGAGAAAGGCACUGAGCUAAAGAUGAGAAGAAGCGUUCCCUGGAGCCUGCAUGGCAUCAAUCAUGAGAAUGGAUGUUGAGGGUUAUGCACCCCACUGAGGCAGCACUGAAUGCCAGAUCCCAAGUUACAGAGGACACCGAUGGGAGGAUGUGGUGGUGAUGGAGGCAGAG
rnacentral:lncRNA from 1 species